UACAGAGGGUGCAAGCGUUGUUCGGAAUUACUGGGCGUAAAGGGCUCGUAGGCGGCCAACUAAGUCAGACGUGAAAUCCCUCGGCUUAACCGGGGGACUGCGUCUGAUACUGGAUGGCUCGAGUUUGGGAGAGGGAUGCGGAAUUCCAGGUGUAGCGGUGAAAUGCGUAGAUAUCUGGAGGAACACCGGUGGCGAAGGCGGCAUCCUGGACCAACACUGACGCUGAUGAGCGAAAGCCAGGGGAGCAAACGGG
rnacentral:rRNA from 1 species